GUGGGGAAUUUUGGACAAUGGGCGAAAGCCUGAUCCAGCAAUGCCGCGUGCAGGAUGAAGGCCCUCGGGUUGUAAACUGCUUUUGUACGGAACGAAAAGCUCUGGGCUAAUACCCCGGAGUCAUGACGGUACCGUAAGAAUAAGCACCGGCUAACUACGUGCCAGCAGCCGCGGUAAUACGUAGGGUGCAAGCGUUAAUCGGAAUUACUGGGCGUAAAGCGUGCGCAGGCGGUUUUGUAAGACAGUGGUGAAAUCCCCGGGCUCAACCUGGGAACUGCCAUUGUGACUGCAAAGCUAGAGUGCGGCAGAGGGGGAUGGAAUUCCGCGUGUAGCAGUGAAAUGCGUAGAUAUGCGGAGGAACACCGAUGGCGAAGGCAAUCCCCUGGGCCUGCACUGACGCUCAUGCACGAAAGCGUGGGGAGCAAACAGGAUUAGAAACCCCUGUAGUCC
rnacentral:rRNA from 1 species